GACGAACGCUGGCGGCGUGCCUAAUACAUGCAAGUAGAACGCUGAAGGAGGAGCUUGCUUCUCUGGAUGAGUUGCGAACGGGUGAGUAACGCGUAGGUAACCUGCCUGGUAGCGGGGGAUAACUAUUGGAAACGAUAGCUAAUACCGCAUAACAGUAGAUAUCGCAUGAUAGCUGCUUGAAAGGUGCAAUUGCACCACUACCAGAUGGACCUGCGUUGUAUUAGCUAGUUGGUGAGGUAACGGCUCACCAAGGCGACGAUACAUAGCCGACCUGAGAGGGUGAUCGGCCACACUGGGACUGAGACACGGCCCAGACUCCUACGGGAGGCAGCAGUAGGGAAUCUUCGGCAAUGGACGGAAGUCUGACCGAGCAACGCCGCGUGAGUGAAGAAGGUUUUCGGAUCGUAAAGCUCUGUUGUAAGAGAAGAACGAGUGUGAGAGUGGAAAGUUUACACUGUGACGGUAUCUUACCAGAAAGGGACGGCUAACUACGUGCCGGCAGCCGCGGUAAUACGUAGGUCCCGAGCGUUGUCCGGAUUUAUUGGGCGUAAAGCGAGCGCAGGCGGUUAGAUAAGUCUGAAGUUAAAGGCUGUGGCUUAACCAUAGUACGCUUUGGAAACUGUUUAACUUGAGUGCAAGAGGGGAGAGUGGAAUUCCAUGUGUAGCGGUGAAAUGCGUAGAUAUAUGGAGGAACACCGGUGGCGAAAGCGGCUCUCUGGCUUGUAACUGACGCUGAGGCUCGAAAGCGUGGGGAGCAAACAGG
rnacentral:rRNA from 1 species